rnacentral:rRNA from 1 species
GACGAACGCUGGCGGCGUGCUUAACACAUGCAAGUCGAACGAAGUGGCGAACGGGUGAGUAACGCGUAAUCAACCUGCCCUUCAGCGGGGGACCACAGUUGGAAACGACUGCUAAUACCGCAUACUGAAGGAGUGGAUUGCGUCUGGUUUGCUAGUUGGCGGGGUAACGGCCCACCAAGGCGAUUAUCAGUAGCCGGUCUGAGCGGAUGAACGGCCAAAUUGGGACUGAGACACGGCCCAGACUCCUACGGGAGGCAGCAGUGGGGAAUCUUCCGCAAUGGAUGAAAGUCUGACGGAGCAACGCCGCGUGAGUGGUGACGGCCUUCGGGUUGGAAAGCUCUGUUAAUCGGUAUGCGGUACCGGAAUAGAAAGCCACGCCUAACUACGUGACAGACGCCGCGGUUAUUC